GAAAAAACAAGAAGAGGUAGACACAUCUAGUUUAGCCCAUGUGAUAAAAACAGAUUUGGUUAUUUAGCUGUUUGUGGAGCACCUCCUUCUGAAAUUAUUUGAGCCCUUAUAGCUGUUAGGGUGCUAAUCAUCAAAAAGCAUCCUUAAAGAAAGGCACUUGUUCAAACUUGUGCAAGCAGCAUGUACCAGGGUAUAGAGUUAACUCCUGGUCACCUGCACCAAGCAGCUCCCAUGUGAUUAGACUUGUCUUCUGCUCUGUGAUAGUGUCAUUUAGGUGAACAGAUCAUUCCCACUUCCCUAGGAUCUGAACAGAGAAAUUAAGACCGCACAAUACAGCAGAACAAUUGCCAGUAGUCCCUAGUAUUAAGUAGCCUAGAAUCUGGUCCUUUUAGUAAGGCUGAAAAUAUGAUACUCCUUCAGUAAAUUUCUCUGCUGCAGAAGAACACAUGAAAUCUAAAAUUAUGAAAAGCCUCCAGCAGAAACAAAGUAAAAAAGAAUCAUCUGUUCCCUCCCCCAAAUUUCAAAGUAUCUCAUAAACACCACACAUCUCUGCUCUUUGUUAUCUGUGUUGUUUGGGCUAACAGGAAAGGGACAGGAAUCAGCUAAUCUGUCGAAUCCAGCCUUCUAAGACAAUGGAAAGCAGUGCCUUUAAAAACUUCCUUUGGGGUAGGGCUCUCUUUCUGUUGCUGGAAUGAAAGACCUUUGGACAUACAUCUGGUACUGAGCCUGAUCAAAAUGCACUGUUUAGAGAAAAACGUCAGCUGAAGUGGAGCGACCUGAAUGGUGAACUAAUUUUAUUGUUUGUGUCAAGAUAAGGAGGAAGAAACAGUGGCAAAAGCAGGUUAACUAAUUUUUUUUCUCUGAGUCCCCUCUGGCCCGUGGCUUUGGUUACAAAGCUUUACAUUUAAUGAGUAGCAGUUACAGAACAGAACGUAGCAACUAAUGAACAAGCUAUAAACUUUUGAUGGUGAUUUUCAAGGUAGGGUUUGUUGGUUUUGUGUUUUUUUUACCUAAAAUAAACAUACUUUUAUAAAAUAUGGGGCGACAUUUGCUGCUGCUGAAAUUAGCAGCAACAGCAGUCCCUCAAAUACCAGCUUGCCAGCUUGUGGCCAGUUAGUUUUAAAUCUUGACUGAUGCUGAAUCAGUGCUCAUUUAGAGACAGGGCGCUUUAUAUAAUUCAGAACAUUUUCUGUUAAACUUCUACAUACACAGAAAGUGGCCCAUGACAGAAAUGCAGUUAGAAAGUCUUUUGCAGCUCCUGGACAAAACCCAUCAAAGAUUCGGAAGAAAAACCGCCCAUGAACCCUGUGAAACUGCAACUGCCGCAGCUUAAGUAAAUGAGAACAAACCCCAAAAUUAUCUUGGCCCUUUUGGACCCUUAUGCAUCAUUUUAUUAUGAUAAGGGCAACACUGUCAAAGAAAAAAAAUGUUUCUGAAAUAUCUGGGUUUUAAUAACUGUGGACAGAUUUUUAAGAGCACAUCAAUGAAAAAAUAUUUAUACAUUGUUUUUAAGGUAAGGUUUAUUUGAUAGAAAAUAAGGAUAAGAAAGCACAGUUUAGCUAACACAGGCUUCUGAUAAAAUUAGUGCAUUAGCAGCUCUCUAAUAAAAAAGUUUAUUAAGUCAGGGCUUGAAGGGUUUUAGACACCCCCUAAAGCUCUGUGGCUGGUCAGACAUUACCACUUAGACCAAAAAAUUUCCCAUCAAACAAGAAUUCUAAUUCUUUGGAAUGGAUAUUCAAAGUUUUAUUUUUAAUUCUAUCUUCCAACAGCCAAGAAAUUAUAAAUAAAUUCCAAAAUAAUGUUUUAAGUCUUGGAGGAUACUUCAGAUUUGACAAAGCCAGUACCUUACAUGAGAAAUACUUUGAAAGAUUAUUAUGGACCAACUCCACAUAACCCAACUCACUCGCAGCAAAUUGCCAAGUAGCCUUCACAUCAUGUGCUGCAAAAUUUGAGUAUUUGACAUGGCUACUAAUGAAAAGGAAAUGAGCACAACUUAACCUGAGAGAACAGAAACCAAUUCAUCUGCUUUCUAAACCCUUGCUCUUGGCAACCAUUUGGUUUUCUACUGACUCCUUCCCUUGCCCCACUUUUACAUGCUUUUGUUCUCCAGUUUAAGUUUUGCUCAUCCAUGCACCCCUGAAGGCAUUUGCUGUUACAUUUUUGGUUCAAAUAAGUUUACAGGUUUGAUCCCUAAACUUCUGAAUCACUCAGACUAACAUUUUAAAAAAUUGAACUCAAGUGCUAUGUUCUGCAAGGACAUAAGCAAUUGAUAAGAAGCUGAUCUGAGCCCAUACUGUAAUGGAGAAAUAACAUAAUCACUGCAUGCACAUUCAUACAAAAAUAUUUACCUUAUUAGUAUUUCAAAACAUCCCUGCAAACAUCAAAAGAUCUGUGUCUUACAUAGACUCUCAUUUUCCUUAAAAUCCAAGUACGCUUCUUGCCUUGGGACAGAAGAGGUUUGGAAAAAAGACACAAAGGAUUUCCCUAUUUGCUGUUAGUUUCUUUCCUCUAUCUCCCUUCUCCAGUACCAAUGGCACCAUUUCCCAUCCCUUUAAUUGCAUCAUCUCCAUACCAUCUCCAGGCAUGGCUGAGCAGCACAUGAGCAGGAGCUUCUACAACUCGAGGACCUAACCCCAGUGCAGCCUGUCCCUGCCCCUGUCCCUCUCUCCCCUGCACACAGGUGGGAGCCCCAAUCAACUAAUUCUUUGGCACAGAAAUUAAAUAGUUAGCCAACAACUUGCCUCUCACCUGACCCAACAACUAAUUCCAAUGUUAUUUGUACAAGCAUUGCUCACUUACUAUCCAGUAUCCUAGACCAAAUGUGCCAGCAUAAUGCUCUAGAACCCACAGUCCCCCCAUCCUGCUGAGAAGGACCACCCUGAAACAUGUGGGGACAAUCCCACUAAUCUUAUUUACACUGAAUUAGGGCUCAGGUAAUAGCAGAUUUCUUUAUAAACAUAGUUGAGCAUCAGAGGGAUUGACUGUAAAUUUAAAGGUGUCUUUUGAUGACAAAACAGUCCAUGCUCUGCAUUCAGACCCCUCAAUUUGGUUGCUUCCCCAUCAGCAACACCUGCUGCUUUAGUCAGCACAUUCCUGAUGGCAACAAGGGGCUUCAAAGAAAGCACCUUUGUCUGAAUGCUCCACAGUUGACCGUGACAAUUCUGGAAGGCAGAGACAUAGAGGAAGGAGAAAAGGCAGAGGACUGGGCAGUGGGGCCAACAGCACCUUUGGGGCACCCCGCAGGCUGAAGUGCUGCUGGUACAUCUGGCUCAGCCACCUUGGAGCCCCAUCCCGCCCAGCAGCCCCAAGGCAGGGGUGUUGCUUCAGGCCCCAGAGAAGCUGCCCAUCCAGGUGUGCUACAACUGCUAGGGUGGGAAGUUUUCUCUAUCACCCAAGGUAAAACGUCUGAAUGCAGACACCAAAUUUACUUCCUUGGAAAUUUCUGUAGGUGGAUUUACAAACCAGAGUGCCCUCUGCAGUCUGUGACAUUUUAAAUCAGACCCUGCCUUAGGUACCCCAUUUUAAGUUCACAAUACUCCUGUUUGUUUUUUAAAAAGGAAACAACAAACCCCAUACUAGCUUAUCUGUUGGACAGGCUGUCAGUAACCAUUUAAAAGGGAGUGUGCCACUAUAUGGGUACAGCAUCUGCUUUAAUUGGAUUCAUUGGGAUGAGACAGUAUUAAAUAUUUUAUUCUCAGAAAUUCAGAUCCAAAUCAGAACUUGCUUCCUGGAUAUUUAUGGCAUUGGAUUUUUUUAUCCUUUUCUCUUUUUUUUUUUUUUAAAUAGCAUUCUAGUAUAACACUGUGUAGCUAAAUAGUUGUAUGCUAUUCUCAGUCCAAGAACUGCAAAUGAUACAGUAUCAAUCACUGGGAAACUAUUCAACUUACACAACACAAACAUUCUUCUAAAGACUAACAAUUGUGAGGUCUGUUGACAGUGACUGAAGUGGUUAGGUACAGCUGAAAACAAGAGAAUUCAGAUGAGCUUUGAGGAUCCUCUCCAGAGGAUCUCUGCCCUCUUCUCCCCUGCAGAAGUUCCCUCUACAAUCACCAUGGCUGGUAUCCAACAGCAGCUCCAUCCAGGGGGACCAGCAGCCUCUGGCAGGUAGAAAAUGGCACUGUUUACUUGUAAUGAUUAUAAUGAUCGCUCUUGGAGUCAAAAUGCAAGUGUUUGGUUUGGUUUUAUAAUUCUCAGACUGCACCUUUGAUUUACUAACGUGGCAUAAGUUUGGUCACUUGGGAGGGAUGGAAAGUGAGAGGAGCUGAUGGGCUCUGUUCAAAUGGAAGCACAGGCUUUCUGCGAAGGUAAGCAAUUUAGCACCAUGUAGCAAACCAAGGGCUGUGCCCGAGGUCAAAUGCUGUUGAUGUUCACACAUAAUCCUCACUCUCGCAACAAGUCAUUUCAUUUGGUUGUAGGAAGGUGCCCUCUGCACUGAUAUUCUGGAAAACUGUCAGAGAUUCCAGGUGAAUAGCUUAUGAGCAGUCAAAUCUAGCAUUUAAUGCAAAAACUUUACACAGCAAGACAAGUUUAUAGAAAAAAAAAAUCAAGCCAAUCUCACCCAAGAUAAAGACUGUUUUAUAUUACUGAAGGUAGGUCACAUCCAGUAACGAUAAUAAUCCAAGAAAAGUUUUUGGUACCACACAAUCCAGCUGGCUGAGUCAAACAUAACCAUGCACGAAAACCAACACUGAAGAUUCCUGGGUACUGACAGCUCCCACCAAUGCAUUCACACUUUUGGUUACUUAACAAACGGGAUACCUGUCAUUUCAGUUAGCAGCAUACAGAGGAAUUGCUCCAAUCCCGGGCACUACAAGCAGCACCACUUCUGAGGCUCAUUCAAGUGUGGAAAAGAGAGGUUGUGAUUGGUGCCAUGUACAGUCAGCGAGAGGCAGAGGAGCGCAAAGGGAGCCUAUGCCACCAACAGAGCACAACCACCGAGUUUAUCUGUAAGAUCACCAUCUCACUUCCCUUUCAGAAAGUGCCUUGUUUAUUUAGAUUUUAAUGGUAUGGCAUAAGGACUUGUGUACUUUAUAGAUAGAUACCAAACUGGUAUUAUCAA
rnacentral:lncRNA from 1 species